rnacentral:rRNA from 1 species
AGAGUUUGAUCCUGGCUCAGAAUGAACGUUGGCGGCGUGGAUUAGGCAUGCAAGUCGUGCGAGAAGGGUCUUUUGCUUGCAUUGGACCUGGAAAGCGGCGAAAGGGAGAGUAACGCGUAGAUACCUACCCCCGGGUCCGGGAUAGCGGCGGGAAACUGGCAGUAAGACCGGAUAAUGUCUCCGGACCAAAGGUGUGAUUCCGUCUGGGGAUGGGUCUGCGUCUUAUUAGCUUGUUGGUGGGGUAAUGGCCUACCAAGGCGAAGAUGGGUAGCGGGUGUGAGAGCAUGGCCCGCCUCACUGGGACUGAGACACUGCCCAGACACCUGCGGGUGGCUGCAGUCGAGAAUCUUCGGCAAUGGACGCAAGUCUGACCGAGCGACGCCGCGUGCGGGAUGAGCGAUACCGCGUGCGGGAUUAAGGCCUUCGGGUUGUAAACCGCUGUCAGAGGGAAGGAAAUUUUGACCGAACCUCAGAGGAAGGACGGGCUAAGAUCGUGCCAGCAGCCGCGGUAAGACGAACUGUCCGAACGUUAUUCGGAAUUACUGGGCUUAAAGGGUGCGUAGGCGGCCUUGCAAGUCAGGUGUGAAAUCCCACGGCUCAACCGUGGAACUGCGCUUGAAACUGCAAGGCUUGAGGGAGAUAGAGGUGAGCGGAACUGAUGGUGGAGCGGUGAAAUGCGUUGAUAUUAUCAGGAACACCUGCGGCGAAGGCCGCUCACUGGAUCUCUUCUGACGCUCAGGCACGAAAGCUAGGGGAGCGAACGGGAUUAGAUACCCCGGUAGUCCUAGCUGUAAACGAUGAGUACUGGAUCGAGGGGACUCCCACAUCCUCUCGGUCGUAGCGAAAGUGUUAAGUACUCCGCCUGGGGAGUAUGGUCGCAAGCCUGAAACUCAAAGGAAUUGACGGGGGCUCACACAAGCGGUGGAGGAUGUGGCUUAAUUCGAGGCUACGCGAAGAACCUUAUCCUGGUCUUGACAUAGUUAGGAAUUCUCGUGAAAGCGAGAAGUGCCCUUCGGGGAGCCUUUUUACAGGUGCUGCAUGGCUGUCGUCAUCUCGUGUCGUGAGAUGUCGGGUUAAGUCCCUUAACGAGCGAAACCCUUAUCCUUAGUUGCCAGCGAGUAAUGUCGGGGACUCUAGGGAGACUGCCGGUGUGAAACCGGAGGAAGGUGGGGAUGACGUCAAGUCCUCAUGGCCUUUAUGAUCAGGGCUGCACACGUCCUACAAUGGUACGUACAAAGGGAAGCAAGACCGCGAGGUGGAGCAAAUCCCAAAAAGCGUGCCUCAGUUCGGAUUGCAGGCUGAACCCCGCCUGCAUGAAGCCGGAAUCGCUAGUAAUCGCGGGUCAGCAUACCGCGGUGAAUGUGUUCCUGAGCCUUGUACACACCGCCCGUCAAGCCACGAAAGUGGGGGGGGCCCGAAGUCGCCGAGCUAACCCGCAAGGGAGGCAAGCGCCGAAGGUCAAAUCCGCGAUUGGGACUAAGUCGUAACAAGGUAGCCGUAGGGGAACCUGCGGCUGGAUCACCUCCUU